rnacentral:rRNA from 1 species
AGAGUUUGAUCAUGGCUCAGAACGAACGCUGGCGGCGUGCUUAACACAUGCAAGUCGCGUGCGCAGUCCGUAGCAAUACGGAUGGGCGCACGGCGCACGGGUGCGUAACACGUGGGCAUCUGCCCUCUGAUGGGGAAUAACCCGCCGAAAGGCGGGCUAAUUCCGCAUAAGAUUCCCGGGGCUUCGGUCCUGGGAUUGAAAGCAGUAAUGCGUCGGAGGAGGAGCCCGCGCCCGAUUAGCUAGUUGGUGAGGUAAUGGCUCACCAAGGCAAUGAUCGGUAGCUGGUCUGAGAGGAUGAUCAGCCACACUGGAACUGAGACACGGUCCAGACUCCUACGGGAGGCAGCAGUGGGGAAUCUUGCACAAUGGGCGAAAGCCUGAUGCAGCGACGCCGCGUGGGGGAUGAAGCAUUUCGGUGUGUAAACCCCUUUCGACUGGGAAGAAUACCUCGCAAGAGGGGUGACGGUACCAGUAGAAGAAGCCCCGGCUAACUACGUGCCAGCAGCCGCGGUAAGACGUAGGGGGCCAGCGUUGUUCGGAAUUACUGGGUGUAAAGGGUUCGUAGGCGGUGCGGCAAGUUGGGAGUGAAAUCUCUGGGCUUAACCCAGAGGCUGCUUCCAAAACUGCUGUGCUCGAGUGUGAGAGAGGCUCGUGGAAUUGCAGGUGUAGCGGUGAAAUGCGUAGAUAUCUGCAGGAACACCCGUGGCGAAAGCGGCGAGCUGGAUCACUACUGACGCUGAGGAACGAAAGCUAGGGGAGCAAACAGGAUUAGAUACCCCAGUAGUCC